ACCUUAUCAAGAGUGGCUGAGGGACCGGCCCUUAGAAGCCACAGCAACCGGUUCCGUCGAUGAAACGGAACGCUGGUGCUAAUUCCAGCUCCCGCAAAACGGGAGAAAGAUAAGGU
rnacentral:ncRNA from 2 species